UACGGGGGGGUGCGAGCGUUGUCCGGAAUCACUGGGCGUAAAGGGCGCGUAGGUGGUUUGAUAAGGGUGUGGUGAAAGUCCGGAGCUCAACUCCGGAUCUGCCGUGCCGACUGUCAAACUCGAGGGCUGUAGAGGCAGACGGAAUUCCGGGUGUAGCGGUGGAAUGCGCAGAUAUCGGGAGGAACACCAGUGGCGAAGGCGGCACUCUGGGCCGGUACUGACGCUGAGGAGCGAAAGCGUGGGGAGCGAACAGG
rnacentral:rRNA from 1 species